rnacentral:rRNA from 1 species
CCAAUAGCGUAUAUUAAAGUUGUUGCAGUUAAAAAGCUCGUAGUUGAACUUCAGGCCUGUCCAGAUGGUCCGCCUUAAUUGGUGUGUACUGUCCUUGGGUGGGUCCUACCUUCUGGCGAAGCGGCAUGGCCUUAAUUGGUUGUGUCGGGGAAGCAGGACUUUUACUGUGAAAAAAUUAGAGUGUUCAAAGCAGGCAAUUAUGCUCGAAUACAUUAGCAUGGAAUAAUGGAAUAGGACGAUGGUUCUAUUUUGUUGGUUCUAGGACCGUUGUAAUGAUUAAUAGGGAUAGUUGGGGGCAUUAGUAUUCAAUUGUCAGAGGUGAAAUUCUUGGAUUUAUUGAAGACUAACUACUGCGAAAGCAUUUGCCAAGGAUGUUUUCAUUAAUCAAGAACGAAAGUUAGGGGAUCGAAGACGAUCAGAUACCGUCGUAGUCUUAACCAUAAACUAUGCCGACUAGGAAUCGGGCGAUGUUGACAAAAUGACUCGCUCGGCACCUCAUG